CCUGGGUCUUAAUGCCUUCUUUCUCUCCACAGCCCAGGACUGCAUCCCUCCUUGUGUUCAGGACAUGUUGGUGAACCGAGGGGACCAGGCUUUGUUUUCUUGCAUCGUGGCUUUCCAGUUGCCAGAGUCGGAGGUCACUUAUUCCUGGAAAUAUGCGGGAGGAGGUGUGAGUCCAGAAACAGCCAGCUGGAGGGCUUGGGAAGGAUGAUGAGGUUCAGUUCAGUGUACUGAUUCGGUUUAGUGCAAGGAGGGUUGGGAACCUAGGGAGAGAUGGAUGCUAAAUAUGUGGAAGUUCCAUGCCCAGAUGUGCAUUAUGAGUCAGGGUUUGGGGAAUGCCCUGAAGGGUUGCACAGUGCAGGCAAAAGAGCCAGAGACUUGCGAGUUGAGUCAGUGCUUUGGGAGAGGGUAUGCAUUAGAGCUGGGCAAGGCUUUCCGUUAGGGUACAUUUGAGCUCCUCAGCCUUGUGGUCCCGCAGGUCCGGACUCAGGACGUUUCCUACUUCCGUGAUUUGCCGGGGUCUCACGGGUACCUGGCACGAAUCCGGCCAGUGCAACCCAGGCACAGUGGAACCUUUUCCUGCGUGAUCCUGCACGACCAGCGCCCCCUGGCGCGGCUCUACUUCUAUCUGAACGGUACGGGCGGGGCGAGGAUAUGAGGUAGAGCCAAGGGCGGAGCUCUGCCCUCUAACGUGUACGCUCUGGCAGUGACGGGGCCUCCUCCGCCUGAGGAGACUGAGC
rnacentral:lncRNA from 1 species